GGUAUUGUGUGCAGAGCGGAUUCUCAAUCAAACCCAAAAGGCAGAGUAACAUAUGUAUCAACUUGGGCGACACUGUUGCAGAUUCAGUGGAGGUAAAUGUAUGGGAGAUUUCAGAACAUUGUGAAAAUUGGUGUCUGCUAAUAUUAGUUGCAGGUAGAGCAGGUACAGGAGAAGGUAUAAUACUCCUCCAUUACCUUGAACAGUGGAGCCACCAAGGUUUAAGUAAGGCCAUUCAGCAGUGGUUAGUUAUAAUAACUUAGUUUUCCUUCCUCUUUUAUUAAGGCUAAUUUUCAAAUUUCUGCUCAUUUAAUCAAUCUGGUAAUUGGUAGUGUUACAUUCGAUCUACUAUAUUACUUUGAUCAUUGUUUUAUGGGCUGGGUGUUGAAUGUUUUAUUUUGUUUUCAGUUCAGAUUUGGGAUUAUAUUCUUUUCAUCUUAUAGGGAUCUUAUAUUAUGGAUGGUUGAAGCUUCUUGAUCCAUAUAAUCUGGCUUCUAAUCAUCUACAACCAAAUAAAUGCCUGAAUGCACUGUGCAAUUGACAUUUAUUAAUGU